UUCUUGUUGUCAGUGAAGAAGCGGGUCUGGAGCUGGGCCAUCGCGGGGGUGCACAGCAAACUGGCCCACAGAGACGCGGGGGGUAACGGUCCGACAAGCCCCUCUUCCGAGCGCCGGUCCCUCGGAGUCACUCUGCCGAGACUAUUCGUGGGCUCUCGCCUCUAGCUUCAGGUUUUAAAUCCAGAUAAGAGAAGGGAACUAC